ensembl:antisense Gm10558 predicted gene 10558
AGCAUUCAGAGUCGGAACUUGACCAGGAUCCCUGCCCUUCACUUCUGCUUUCCAGUUUCAGAGGCAGUUCUCUUAGCAUCUCCUCUUUCCCUCAUAGAACCUGUGCUCUCCAAGGUAACCACGGCAGCAAGACACUUGAGCCUUUUGUGACAAUUUCAAGUGGAAAAGUCUUUACAAAAUAUGAAUCAUGUAUGGUUGAGCCUCCGCGUUGGAAGCCUGAGGACAGUGCCAUGUGUCUCUUCCUCUCUUGUGCUGGGACUACCCACAGAAGCCGGGCUCUUCAGCAAUGCUUGUGGGAUGAAUACAUUAAGUCGCUCGUGAUUACCCAUUGCAGAGAAAAUGAACCUGCUGCAAAUCCUCCGAUUCAUGGUGUACACUCUCACGGCUAGAAUCUUUCAAGCUUAUGGCGGUUGUCUCAGCCAUUUUUUUAAAAGUAUAGUUUUUAGAAAGCUAAAAGUAUGAAAUAUUUUCAACUGACAGUCUUAAAGGGGAAUUCUAAGGAGGGUUCUAUCGGGAUGCCAGGAAAAGGCUUAGGGGCGGCACUGACUGUUCUCUCCUCAGGAAGGCAGAAAAUGUCUUCCAUUUUCUUUCUUCUUCUUCUUCUUCUUCUUUUUUUUUUUUUUUUUUUUUUUUUUUUGGUAAAUGACUACUAUAUAGGUUUUGUGGACAAGAACAUAUGUUAAAGUCAGAGAUAAAGUUAAAAAAUUAAAGAGCAGGCAGUAAUCAUAACUGCCCUUUCAAGUCAAUAUACACCCUCAUGCUAAGUUUAAAAAUGAUUAUUUUUCAUGUAAGGCUCGAGGCCCAGAUCAAUGGAUUCAACUGCUUUCAUAGCAAGAGAAAGGAUCUAUUUUCUUAUGUUAUUAAUUCUGAAUAAAGCAUAUGAUACUAAGCUCUUUUGAAAAUUAACCAUUUCUGACUUUAAAUAUAUUUCCUGUUGUAUGCUAAAGAUAUUGUAUAGAAAUUAUAAUAUUUUAUUCACCAAAUUUCACAACACUGAGUCAUCCCUGGGCUUCAGUCUCCAAAGCUCUUCCCAUCUAAAAGGGUGAACCAUUUUAUUUAGAAUAUUUAUUUUUUAAAGCAUGGAUCCACAGGAAACCUCCAUCUAAAAUAAUUUUUAACAUGUUUCUCUUAAGUUCAAAUAAAUAUAUUUUCUUUGUGAUACACAUAUUUCAGACAUUUUGUUAACUGUCACAAUGACAAAAAUCCAAACAUUACAGAUGAGCUAGGCAUGCUGAUAUUUCUUAGUAUUUGCAGCAUAGACAAAAGGCAUAUAUUUUUUUAGAUACUUUCUAUUCAAAAUAGCUUCCGCUGAUGGUGAAAUCUGCAUAAGAACUCCUACAUCUUCUAGACAAAGAUCAGACAAUCCACUCUGGAAUAAAAAACCAGCCAUGAGGGUAAACCUAAAAUAAAAGCAUUCCAAUUCUUUCUCAAUUGCCCUUCCUUUAAACGUCCAAAUAAAUCAUGCAGUACCUUUUAAUUUUCUGACUGAGUGCUUCCCAAUCAGUGCUUCCUCUGUUAGAGACAAGCUGAGGAACCUAGAGAAACAAAAGAAACACAUAUAUACAUAUAGGUUUGUCAGAUAAAUAUCAAAAAUCACAACUCACCAAUAAGUCCAUUCACCCUUUAUAUCCAGAUAAUAAAUGUAUGCCUUGGAGUCUGGAGC